rnacentral:rRNA from 1 species
AGCUAAUAGAUACCCCGGUAGUCCACGCCCUAAACGAUGUCUACUAGUUGUUGGUGGAGUAAAAUCCAUGAGUAAACGCAGCUAAACGCGUGAAGUAGACCGCCUGGGGAGUACGGUCGCAAGAUUAAAACUCAAAGGAAUUGGACGGGGGCCCGCACAAGCGGUGGAUUAUGUGGAUUAAAUUCGAUGCAACGCGAAAAACCUUACCUGGCCUUGACAUGCCACUAACGAAGCAGAGAUGCAUUAGGUGCCCGUAAGGGAAAGUGGACACAGGUGCUGCAUGGCUGUCGUCAGCUCGUGUCGUGAGAUGUUGGGUUAAGUCCUGCAACGAGCGCAACCCUUGCCAUUAAUUGCCAUCAUUUAGUUGGGCACUUUAAUGGGACUGCCGGUGACAAACCGGAGGAAGGUGGGGGAUGACGUCAAGUCCUCAUGGCCCUUAUGGCCAGGGCUUCACACGUAAUACAAUGGUCGGUACAGAGAGUUGCCAACCCGCGAGGGGAGCUAAUCUCAGAAAGCCGAUCGUAGUCCGGAUUGUUCUCU